rnacentral:lncRNA from 1 species
GAACGUGUGGCAUUGUGCCGGUCUCACACGCUUGGCCCGAUGAGAUCACAUUCUUCUCCAUUCUUGCCUCACAUUCCCAUUGCUGUACACGAGAGAUUAUUUUUCUGGUUGAUCCAUUCCUUGUAAUAGUUCCUUUACCUGUGUGUAAUCUGCUAGAGACGGUUGACAUUCUGUGUAUUACUACCUACUCCCUCCGUCCUCGAAUAAGUGUACUUCUACCGUUUUUCCUAAGUCAAAGUUUUAUAAUUUUGACCAACUUGUUAAAAAAGAGUAGUAGGAUUAUAUGACAUCAAAUUGGUAUAUUAUGAAAAUACAUUUCAGAACGAAUCUAGUGAUAUUAAUUUAGUGCCAUAAAUGGUGCUACUUUUACCUACAAAGUUGGUCAAAGUUUCAAAACUUUGAGUUAGAACAAAAGCUAGAUGUACACUUAUUCGCGGACGGAGGAAGUAGUUUGCAUUAUUGCUAUCUUUAAUUCUUUUCGUUAUGUGUUUUCUUCCUCCUAUAUAUAGACCAAAGUCACCAAAGCAUACAUUAGUACUAGUAGUAUCAAUGGGAUCACGUGAAGUGUUGGCUAAUUUGAGCAUUGAUACGGAAGAACCGAAGAAUGGUGGUGUGGUGUGUGGGGGAGAAGCAUUGGAAUCGCCGUCGGUGGACGGUGGGCAAAGCCAUCAUGACACCGGCACCGAUCGAUCUUAAGCGCUGUUGGUUCAUCAAUGCUAGGAUUCGUCCCAUUCAAUUCCUCAACGGCUGCUCUCCCAUCUGUUACCAACCACGUCACUAAUUACUCAAGCGCUACUAGUACUUACUUGAAGAGAGGGGGCAGAUAGAUAAUUUGGGACACGCAUAUGGGCAGAUACAGUACAUAAUUUGGAUCGGGCAGCUAAUUUGGGACACACGCGUUUAGAGCGUGUCUACCGAUCCCUCAAAAUCGGUUAAAGAAGUAAAAAAAUCGAUUUUAAGGGAUUAAACCGAAUCUAGCCUAUCCCUGCUAGCUAUUUAUUUGUCUCAGCACACCGUAGUACUGUAAUCACCUGGCCGCCACAUACCGCCGCCCGUGUGCUGCAUUGCAGGUGCCAACACAAUGCAUGAGUCAAAUGUAAGCUAUAGAGAUUUAUGUUUAUGUGUUCGGGUAGGAACCAAUUUUUUUAACAGGGCACAUAUAAGAAGUUAAGCCAUAUAAUGGGCCGUUUGAGGGGCUAAAUUAUAAUGCUUUGUAUAGAGAUGCUCUAAGCCAUUAUAAUUUAGCCCUUCAUAUGCCUCCUCAAACUUUAACUACUCAAAUUUGAGGAGUUAAAAAACGUGAUUCCUAACUGAACUCUUAAAUGUAACUCCCUAAAACUUUUUUCAUACAAAUUUAACAUAAAUAGCACAAUUUGAUUCAAA